GAUGAACGCUGGCGGCGUGCCUAAUACAUGCAAGUCGAGCGAACAGACGAGGAGCUUGCUCCUCUGACGUUAGCGGCGGACGGGUGAGUAACACGUGGAUCACCUCCCUAUAAGACUGGGAUAACUUCGGGAAACCGGCGCUAAUCCCGGAUAAUAUAUUGAACCGCAUGGUUCAAUAGUGAAAGACGGUUUUGCUGUCACUUAUAGAUGGAUCCGCGCCGCAUUAGCUAGUUGGUAAGGUAACGGCUUACCAAGGCAACGAUGCGUAGCCGACCUGAGAGGGUGAUCGGCCACACGAGAACUGAGACACGGUCCAGACUACUACGGGAGGCAGCAGUAGGGAAUCUUCCGCAAUGGGCGAAAGCCUGACGGAGCAACGCCGCGUGAGUGAUGAAGGUCUUCGGAUCGUAAAACUCUGUUAUUAGGGAAGAACAAAUGUGUAAGUAACUAUGCACGUCUUGACGGUAACUAAUCAGAAAGCCACGGCUAACUACGUG
rnacentral:rRNA from 1 species